rnacentral:rRNA from 1 species
UACGUAGGGGGCUAGCGUUGUCCGGAAUCAUUGGGCGUAAAGCGCGUGUAGGCGGCCCGGUAAGUCCGCUGUGAAAGUCGGGGGCUCAACCCUCGGAUGCCGGUGGAUACUGUCGGGCUAGAGUGCGGUAGAGGAGAGUGGAAUUCCCGGUGUAGCAGUGAAAUGCGUAGAGAUCGGGAGGAACAUCAGUUGCGAAGGCGGCUCUCGUGGACCAGCACUGACACUGAGGCACGAAAGCGUGGGGAGCAAACAGG